UUGAGAGCCGCCGAGAGCCGAGCGAGGCGAUUGCGACACGCCACGGGGCUUGGAGUCCCCGCGGGCGGUGCAAACUCAGAAGCGAGGCACAGCCGGGGCUCCCCGAGCCUGGCGUGCUGCCCGCCGACAGCCCCCUGAACGCUGGGACUGCAGCCUGUGCGAGCCUGCCGCCCUCUGAGCAGACUGAACCACCAGCCUCCUCACGUUGCGUCUUUUUAAACUAUUGUUAUUAUUUUUAGAUCACUACUUCCCUUUAAACCACCUCCAAUGGACCCAAACUGUUGCUCUGGGACUGCGCACGUGGUAACCACCAAACUGCACCGCUUCACAAUAGACUUCGCCAUGCUAAAUAUAGAGCAAGCAUUUGGUUUGAAGCAUAAGCUGGAUCCUUCGCAGUGAACAUGAGGCACUGUAGAAAGCGUCACUUUAUGCUGCAAGAAUAUUAUCUCUUCAGAGUUUGCCAUCUGGGGCCUCAGGUUUUCGCAGGAAGUUCAAAUAUGCUUUAUAAUCUUAAAAUAUUAUCUGAAGGCUAAAAAGAUGCGUGAAUUCUCUCUGAUGAAAAAUUCUAGCCACGAGCUGCAUAGACCAAAAUUAUCUCCCAAGUUAAAAAUAAAUGUCUAGCCUCUAGUUCUUUGUUUCCUGUACGGAGUUUUUGCCACAAGCACUAUGUGACGAGUGAUUGACAGGAUUUCAAAUAAAGUUGGUUAUUUUGU